rnacentral:rRNA from 1 species
UACGGAGGGUGCAAGCGUUAUCCGGAUUCACUGGGUUUAAAGGGAGCGUAGGUGGCUUUGUAAGUCAGUGGUGAAAUCUUAGAGCUUAACUCUAAAACUGCCAUUGAUACUGCUUAGCUUGAAUCAAGUCGAGGUGGAUGGAAUAUUACAUGUAGCGGUGAAAUGCUUAGAUAUGUAAUAGAACACCGAUUGCGAAGGCAGUUCACUAGGCUUGUAUUGACACUGAGGCUCGAAAGCGUGGGGAGCAAACAGG